AGGGGUACUCUUUAAAAAAUCCGGUUGAUACGGAUUCAUUCUCCUUGUGCAGCGCCGCGGUAUUCAGCUCCAUAGCGUAUUUAAGUUGUUGCAGUUAAAAAGCUCGUAGUUGAACCUUGGGCCUGGCUGGCCGGUCCGCCUCACCGCGUGUACUGUUCCGGCCGGGCCUUUCCUUCUGGGGAGCCGCAUGCCCUUCACUGGGCGUGCCGGGGAACCAGGACUUUUACUUUGAAAAAAUUAGAGUGUUCAAAGCACGCCUUUGCUCGAAUACAUUAGCAUGGAAUAAUAGAAUAGGACAUGCGGUUCUAUUUUGUUGGUUUCUAGGACCGCCGUAAUGAAUACUAGGGAUAGUCGGGGGCAUCAGUAUUCAAUUGUCAAAGGUGAAAUUAUAGGAUUUAUUGAAGACUAACUACUGCGAAAGCAUUUGCCAGGAUGUUUUAGUUAGUCAGUGAACGAAAGUUAGGGGAUCGAAGACGAUCAGAUACCGACGUAGUCUUAACCAGAAAACUAUGCCGACUAGGGAUCGGUGGAUGUUACUAUUUUGACUCCAUCGGCACCUUACGAGAAAUCAAAAUUUUUUGGGGUUCUGGGGGGAGUAUGGUCGCAAGGAUGAAACAUAAGGAUAAUCGACUGAAAGGGCACCACCACGCGUGGAGACUGCGGCUUAAUUUUGACUCAACAGGGGAAACUCAUCACGGACAGGAACAAUACGAUUGACAGAUGAGAAACUCUUUCGUGAUAUGGGGGGUGAUGGUGAUGGACGUUCAUAAUUGGUGGAA
rnacentral:rRNA from 1 species